rnacentral:rRNA from 1 species
GUGAGGAAUUUUCCGCAAUGGGCGAAAGCCUGACGGAGCAAUGCCGCGUGAAGGAUGAAGGCCUAUGGGUUGUAAACUUCUUUUCUCAGAAAAGAAUUAUGACGGUAACUGAGGAAUAAGCAUCGGCUAACUCUGUGCCAGCAGCCGCGGUAAGACAGAGGAUGCAAGCAUUAUCCGGAAUGAUUGGGCGUAAAGCGUCUGUAGGUUGUUUAAAAAGUAUUCUGUCAAAGAUUAGGGCUUAACCCUAGAUAGGCAGAAUAAACUUUUAAGCUAGAGUUUGGUAGAGGCAGAGGGAAUUCCCGGUGGAGCGGUGAAAUGCGUAGAUAUCGGGAGGAACACCAAAGGCGAAGGCACUCUGCUGGGCCAAUACUAACACUGAGAGACGAAAGCGAGGGGAGCAAAUGGGAUUAGAUACCCCGGUAGUCC